AGUAUAUCAUUGAAACAAUACUGAUUAGACAGUCCAUGCGACAUAAGUAGGCAGCUGUCACAAAGAAGAGAAAUAUUCUGAUACACAUUGCUUUUUCUUUACCUUUGAUAUGAAAAAAAAUCCAAUGUCAUGUGAUUCUCAAAGCUUUUUCGUAUUCUUGUCCAUUUUUUCCCUUCCUAUCAUAGGUUUGUGUCCAAUUUUCUACUUCUAGCUUUGCAGCAUCCAAUUCCACCGUUUCUUGGCAAAAGUUGCCUACCCUCAUCUUUUCUCAGCUAGCUAAACCAGCCACUCUCUUGAAUUCAAGCAGCAAAUUUUUCUCUCAUUUUUUUGUUUUUUUUUUCUUUUUCUAGAUUCCAUUGACACGGUCCUUUUCAAACAUGAUGAAGUAGACCAGACAUACACAUGAUUAGCUCAGAAAACUUGGAAUGGAAUCUACAGAAAAGUUACUUGUGGCCUUGUAGUAUAUCUUACUAGAGCAUGUUUGGAUUAGAUAUUUUUUCUAACACUUUAGUUUGAUUUAUGGAAAAGGAACUGAUAGAAUUAAUGUUCAAAUAUCUUUAGUAAUUUAGA
rnacentral:lncRNA from 1 species